GAUGAACGCUGGCGGCGUGCCUAAUACAUGCAAGUCGAGCGAACAGACGAGGAUCUUGCUCCUCUGACGUUAGCGACGGACGGGUGAGUAACACGUGGAUAACCUACCUAUAAGACUGGGAUAACUUCGGGAAACCGGAGCUAAUACCGGGUAAUAUAUUGAACCGCAUGGUUCAAUAGUGAAAGACGGGUUUGCUGUCACUUAUAGAUGGAUCCGCGCCGCAUUAGCUAGUUGGUAAGGUAACGGCUUACCAAGGCAACGAUGCGUAGCCGACCUGAGAGGGUGAUCGGCCACACUGGAAGUGAGACACGGUCCAGACUCCUACGGGAGGCAGAAGUAGGGAAUCUUCCGCAAUGGGCGAAAGCUUGACGGAGCAACGCCGCGUGAGUGAUGAAGGUCUUCGGAUCGUAAAACUCUGUUAUUGGGGAAGAACAAAUGUGUAAGUAACUAUGCACGUCUUGACGGUACCUAAUCAGAAAGCCACGGCUAACUACGUG
rnacentral:rRNA from 1 species